rnacentral:rRNA from 1 species
GCCAUUCUCAGUUCGGAUUGUAGGCUGAAACUCGCCUACAUGAAGCUGGAGUUACUAGUAAUCGCAGAUCAGAAUGCUGCGGUGAAUGCGUUCCCGGGUCUUGUACACACCGCCCGUCACACCACGGAAGUUGGGGGCGCCCGAAGCCACUUAGCUAACCCUUUGGGAAGCGAGUGUCGAAGGUGAAAUCAAUAACUGGGGUGAAGUCGUAACAAGGUAAC